rnacentral:rRNA from 1 species
UACGUAGGGUGCAAGCGUUGUCCGGAUUUAUUGGGCGUAAAGAGCGUGUAGGCGGCUUGACAGGUCUGCUGUGAAAACUCGAGGCUCAACCUCGAGAUGUCGGCGGAAACCGUCUGGCUAGAGUCCGGAAGAGGAGAGUGGAAUUCCUGGUGUAGCGGUGAAAUGCGCAGAUAUCAGGAAGAACACCUAUGGCGAAGGCAGCUCUCUGGGACGGUACUGACGCUGAGACGCGAAAGCGUGGGGAGCGAACAGG